rnacentral:rRNA from 1 species
GAUGAGCGCUGACAGAAUGCUUAACACAUGCAAGUCUACUUGAACUUCGGUUUGGGUGGCGGACGGGUGAGUAACGCGUAAAGAACUUGCCUCACAGUUAGGGACAACAUUUGGAAACGAAUGCUAAUACCUGAUAUUAUGAUUUUAGGGCAUCCUAGGAUUAUGAAAGCUAUAUGUGCUGUGAGAGAGCUUUGCGUCCCAUUAGCUAGUUGGAGAGGUAACGGCUCACCAAGGCGAUGAUGGGUAGCCGGCCUGAGAGGGUGAACGGCCACAAGGGGACUGAGACACGGCCCUUACUCCUACGGGAGGCAGCAGUGGGGAAUAUUGGACAAUGGACCAAAAGUCUGAUCCAGCAAUUCUGCGUGCACGAUGACGUUUUUCGGAAUGUAAAGUGCUUUCAGUUGGGAAGAAAAAAAUGACGGUACCAACAGAAGAAGUGACGGCUAAAUACGUG